GACAGAGGGGGCAAGCGUUGCUCGGAAUCACUGGGCGUAAAGGGCGCGUAGGCGGGAUGGCAAGUCGGUCGUGAAAUCCUUCGGCUCAACCGAAGAACGUCGGCCGAUACUGCCGUUCUUGAGGGAUGCAGAGGAGAUUGGAAUUCCCGGUGUAGCGGUGAAAUGUGUAGAGAUCGAGAGGAACACCGGCGGCGAAGGCGGCCAUCUGGACGAGGACUGACGCUGAGAUGCGAAAGCGUGGGGAGCAAACAGG
rnacentral:rRNA from 1 species